CAGUCGCCGCGGUAAUACGAAGGGUGCAAGCGUUACUCGGAAUUACUGGGCGUAAAGCGUGCGUAGGUGGUGGUUUAAGUCCGUUGUGAAACCCCCGGGCUCAACCUGGGAACUGCAUUCGUGACUGGCAAGCUAGAGUAUGGCAGAGGGGGGUGGAAUUCCGCGUGUAGCAGUGAAAUGCGUAGAUAUGCGGAGGAACACCGAUGGCGAAGGCAGCCCCCUGGGCCAAUACUGACGCUCAUGCACGAAAGCGUGGGGAGCAAACAGGAUUAGAUACCCCUGUAGUCCCUGUCUCUUAUAC
rnacentral:rRNA from 1 species